rnacentral:rRNA from 2 species
GGUCCCGCCUGCCCUGUGACCCCCAGUUUAACGGCCGCGGUAUUUUGACCGUGCAAAGGUAGCGCAAUCACUUGUCCCUUAAAUGAGGACCUGUAUGAAUGGCACAACGAGGGCUUAACUGUCUCCUUUCCCCGGUCAAUGAAAUUGAUCUUCCCGUGCAGAAGCGGGAAUUCUAACAUAAGACGAGAAGACCCUAUGGAGCUUUAGACUCCAGAAUAGACCAUGUCAGCUAUUCCCGUUAAACAUAAUAGCAACUAUUGAGCCUCUAUUCUCUGUCUUUGGUUGGGGCGACCACGGGGAAGAAAAAAUCCCCCAUGUGGACCGGGAGCACCAAUCUCACUCCCACAACCACGAGCCACAGCUCUAAUGCGCAGAACUUCUGACCAUAUAGAUCCGGCAACUAGCCGAUCAACGGACCGAGUUACCCUAGGGAUAACAGCGCAAUCCCCUUUAAGAGUCCCUAUCGACAAGGGGGUUUACGACCUCGAUGUUGGAUCAAGACAUCCUAAUGGUGCAGCCGCUAUUAAGGGUUCGUUUGUUCAACGAUUAAAGUCUU